AGGACGAACGCUGGCGGCGUGCUUAACACAUGCAAGUGGAGCGACGAACCAGGGCUUGCCCUGGGGCAGAGCCGCGAACGGGUGAGUAACACGUGGGCAACCUGCCCCUCACACUGGGAUAACCUCGGGAAACCGGGGCUAAUACCGGAUAUGACCUCGAGCGGCAUCUCUUGAGGUGGAAAGCUCCGACGGUGAGGGAUGGGCCCGCGGCCUAUCAGCUUGUUGGUGGGGUAAUGGCCUACCAAGGCGACGACGGGUA
rnacentral:rRNA from 1 species